ACGGGAGGCAGCAGUAGGGAAUCUUCCACAAUGGACGCAAGUCUGAUGGAGCAACGCCGCGUGAGUGAAGAAGGGUUUCGGCUCGUAAAGCUCUGUUGUUAAAGAAGAACGUGGUGAGAGUAACUGUUCACCCAGUGACGGUAUUUAACCAGAAAGCCACGGCUAACUACGUGCCAGCAGCCGCGGUAAU
rnacentral:rRNA from 1 species